AAAUGAUUAUUCUCAACAAACCAUAAGGACAUUGGUACUUUAUACUUCAUAUUUGGAGCAUGAGCAGGAAUAGUAGGAACAUCAAUAAGAAUACUUAUUCGUGCUGAACUUGGCCAACCCGGAUCUCUAAUUGGGGAUGACCAGAUUUAUAAUGUUAUUAUUACAGCUCACGCAUUCGUAAUAAUUUUCUUUGUAGUAAUACCUAUUAUAAUUGGUGGAUUUGGUAAUUGACUUGUUCCACUAAUAAUUGGUGCACCAGAUUUAGCAUUUCCACGAAUAAAUAAUAUAAGUUUUUGAUUACUACCACCUUCACUAACCCUUCUUCUUACAUCUUCUAUAGUAGAUAAUGGUGCUGGUACAGGAUGAACAGUUUACCCUCCUCUAGCAGGAGCUAUUGCACACGGGGGUGCAUCUGUAGAUCUAGCUAUUUUUUCACUGCACUUAGCAGGUGUAUCAUCUAUUCUUGGUGCAGUGAAUUUCAUUACAACAGCAAUUAAUAUACGAUCAGAAAGUAUAACUUUAGAUCAAACACCUUUAUUUGUAUGAUCUGUAGCUAUUACAGCAUUACUUCUCCUUCUUUCACUUCCAGUUUUAGCAGGAGCUAUUACUAUAUUAUUAACAGAUCGAAAUUUAAAUACAUCAUUCUUUGACCCUGCAGGAGGGGGUGACCCAAUUCUAUAUCAACAUCUAUUUUGAUUCUUUGGACACCCAGAAGUUUAUAUUUUAAUUCUACCGGGGUUCGGAAUUAUUUCACAUAUUGUAUGUCAAGAAAGAGGAAAAAUUGAAUCAUUUGGAACAUUAGGUAUAAUUUAUGCUAUACUAUCAAUUGGACUAAUAGGAUUUAUUGUAUGAGCACAUCAUAUAUUUACAGUAGGAAUGGAUGUUGACACACGAGCAUAUUUUACAUCAGCAACAAUAAUUAUUGCUGUACCUACAGGAAUUAAGGUAUUUAGAUGAUUAGCUACAUUAUAUGGAACUAAAUUCAAGUUCAAUCCACCAUUAUUAUGAGCUCUAGGAUUUAUUUUCCUAUUUACAAUUGGUGGAUUAACAGGAUUAGUAUUAGCAAAUUCAUCACUUGAUAUUGUAUUACAUGAUACAUAUUAUGUAGUAGCCCACUUUCAUUAUGUAUUAUCUAUAGGAGCAGUAUUUGCAAUUAUAGGAGGUGUCAUUCAAUGAUAUCCACUAUUUACAGGAUUAACUAUAAAUAAUACAUGAUUAAAAAUCCAAUUUACAAUUAUAUUCAUUGGAGUAAAUUUAACAUUCUUUCCUCAACACUUCCUAGGAUUAGCAGGAAUACCUCGACGAUACUCUGACUACCCAGACGCAUAUACAUCAUGAAACGUAGUAUCAAGAAUUGGGUCUACAAUUUCUAUUGUAGGAAUCAUUAUAUUCAUUGUAAUUAUAUGAGAAAGAAUGAUUACAAACCGAGCAAUUAUAUUUAGAGCUAACAUAAGAAGAUCAACAGAAUGACUACAAAAUAACCCUCCUGCAGAACAUAGUUACUCAGAAUUACCAUUAAUCUCUAGAU